rnacentral:rRNA from 1 species
CCAAACCGACACAGGUGGUCAGGUAGAGAAUACUCAGGCGCUUGAGAGAACUCGGGUGAAGGAACUAGGCAAAAUGGUGCCGUAACUUCGGGAGAAGGCACGCUGGCAUUAGGUAAAGGGACUUGCUCCCGGCGCCGAAGCCAGUCGCAGAUACCAGCUGGCUGCAACUGUUUAAUAAAAACACAGCACUGUGCAAACACGAAAGUGGACGUAUACGGUGUGACGCCUGCCCGGUGCUGGAAGGUUAAUUGAUGGGGUCAGCCGCAAGGCGAAGCUCUUGAUCGAAGCCCCAGUAAACGGCGGCCGUAACUAUAACGGUCCUAAGGUAGCGAAAUUCCUUGUCGGGUAAGUUCCGACCUGCACGAAUGGCGUAAUGAUGGCCAGGCUGUCUCCACCCGAGACUCAGUGAAAUUGAACUCGCUGUGAAGAUGCAGUGUACCCGCGGCAAGACGGAAAGACCCCGUGAACCUUUACUAUAGCUUGACACUGAACAUUGAGCCUUGAUGUGUAGGAUAGGUGGGAGGC